CUACGGGUUGCACCAGUGAGGAAUAUUGCACAAUGGGGGGAACCCUGAUGCAGCAACGCCGCGUGGAGGAUGACGCAUUUCGGUGUGUAAACUCCUUUUAUAUGUCAAGAAAAUGACGGUAGCAUAUGAAUAAGCACCGGCUAACUUCGUGCCAGCAGCCGCGGUAAUACGGAGGGUGCAAGCGUUACUCGGAAUCACUGGGCGUAAAGGACGCGUAGGCGGGUUGGAAAGUCAGGUGUGAAAUCCUACAGCUUAACUGUAGAACUGCACUUGAAACUUCUAAUCUAGAGUAUGGGAGGGGGAGAUGGAAUUAGUGGUGUAGGGGUAAAAUCCGCAGAUAUCACUAGGAAUACCUAAAGCGAAGGCGAUCUCCUGGAACAUUACUGACGCUAAGGCGUGGAAGCGUGGGGAGCAAACAGGAUUAGAUACCCCGGUAGUC
rnacentral:rRNA from 1 species